UACGAAGGGUGCAAGCGUUACUCGGAAUCACUGGGCGUAAAGCGUGCGUAGGCGGUUGAUUAAGUCUGCUGUGAAAGCCCUGGGCUCAACCUGGGAACUGCAGUGGAUACUGGUCAGCUAGAGUGUGAUAGAGGAUGGUGGAAUUCCCGGUGUAGCGGUGAAAUGCGUAGAGAUCGGGAGGAACACCAGUGGCGAAGGCGGCCAUCUGGAUCAACACUGACGCUGAGGCACGAAAGCGUGGGGAGCAAAUAGG
rnacentral:rRNA from 1 species